AUUUUUCUUAAAAUCUAAAACUACUGGCUAUUGAAUAAAGUAGCCCAUAUUUAUAGGGGUUCUAGAGAUUAUGGUAUAACAACUAUCAACGGUUAUAUGAAGAUGACCAAAUUCUGUCAAAUAAGGAUGAGUCUUAGAGGUCCAAGUAUCGGGCAUCUAAGGAAGGAAGAUCUGUGCAAGCAAGUGUCCUUUGACCUAGUCAAAAUAGGUAUGGAUGAGUCACAAACACAUCAUUACCAUAAACCAAUGAAGAAUUAUAAACCAGUCAAAGCAUAUGGGUAAGUACUGAGUCAUAUUAGAAAUCCCUCCAUUCGUCUUUCAUUUUUUAUUUCAAAGGUCCAGUCAGCUUGCUAAACACACAGCAAAAAUCGUGUUAGUGUCAUUUCACAUUUGCUCCUUUUUGUGUGUAUGAGACGCCUCAAGUUCUGAAGUACAUUUAAUACUGGUCAUCAUUACUUCCUAUAAAUCCCCAAUUUUUGCCACUGCUACCACUUUUGCUUUACUUCUUCUCGAUUUCUGCUUUCAUCUCUUUCAACUCGUCUUCUGCCCUUCAUCCUCUCACUUUGCCUUUUUGCUCUUCGUCAUCUCAGAUUAUUGUCAUUUCCUUAUCUCCAUUGUUUCUGGUCUAUAUUUAAGAAUGAGUCAAGAAUCUUCUUCCCUUACCCAGUAAGUAUCUAUUCACACUAUUAAUAGACCCAUUCACAUCCUUGUCCAGAUUGUUUCAUUGAGAGCAAACUAAAUCGGCGGUGAAACCCUAUUGGUGAGUGAUAUAAGAUUAGUGCUGACCUAGAAAGACAUGAGUUGCUUUUAUAACCUAUACCAAAUUUCACAAGACACAUUUGAGAUCCUCGCCCUUAUGUCCAAUGUUCACCAAUGAUAGCAUUUCUACUAAAGACACCAUUAUCGUGUAUGAAGAACAACUAAAGGAGGGCAUGAGAUUUCCUAAUCAAUCCAUUCUACACUGAGAUGUUGGCCUUCCAUAAACUCUCUAUCGCCUAGCUGUACCCUACCUCAAUAAUAGCAUCGAGCCGAGUGUUGCCAUUUUCUCCCAAUUGUAUCAACUUAGAACUUGAGUUAAAGAAGAGUAAUGAUUUCUUUAGUGGAAGAAAAUGCUAAACACUUUUUCAAGAGGCUCCUUUCCUCCUUAAGGCAUUGGAAAACAAAUUUUUUAUCGCCAGACAUUGGGUGUUUGGUGGUUUUAGGAACCUUUAGGAUGAUUGGAACCUCUACGUAGGCCUAAGAAAAGAGGGAAAGAGGCCAAUCCAAGAGGAGGAAUAAGCUAUAACCUUCUCCAAAAGAUGGCUACAAGAAGAAAAAUUGACAUAAAUGUCGCUGUGAGAAAUGUCAUUCUCGCAUGGCAAGCCCCAUAACAGGCCAAGCUGGUGAGGGACUCGAGGCCGAGCACUCGAUCAACUACUUGAGCCAACUUACUACCUUAAUAGGACUAGAGUAUUUUACUUAAACUUUAAACCUUAAUAUGCUAUACUUACUCACUUAUGUCUUACCCAAAUAUGGCUAACAAGGAUAAGUGGGCCAAGGUUGGUUAUGCUACCAGGAAGGGCAAAUCACCUACUACUAAGUAUAAGCUCCACUAGUCAAGUGUCAGCACCAUUUAGGAGUCUCGACCAUACCAGUCGUGAUGUAGGCUCUUCUAGCUCCAAUUUUCCAAGCCGUUCCUUCUCUAGUAGCCUCGAGCAUUAUUCAGAGGAAUGCUCCUCCUCCAUCUCCACCUCCUCAUGAUCCUUUACUGAGGUAAAUAAAGGUGGGAACAAGCUCUCCAUAGCCAAGGAGCGAUCAAAAGCUUGCCUUACCCUCACCAAUGUAGAGUUGCUACUUAAAGAGCCUUGCCUUUCCCUUUUGAUUGCCAAGAACACUUUGAUCCCCAAUGAUUAUGAGCAGCUGGGGUAGUUUGAAAUUGAUGAACUGUACAAUAAUGCCAUCCACACAGCCAUAUAAUGCAUUGUGUCAUGCUUCCUAGCAAAGGAAAGAGAUAGAUCUUUGAGGAGGAACUUUAGGACUCUGGAAACAGAGAAAAACAUCGUUUGGAGGAGAGCCAGAGACUCAAUGCCUGGAUGGAGGAGGUGGAAGGGACGAUUAAAGAAACAUUGGAGUCGAUGGAUAAAGUCCAAACUAACCUAGACCAAGUAAACUCCUAGAAGGCUAAGCUUGAAAUCAAAGCGUAAGCUAUUGAGGAGAAAGCUCAGGAGCUGGGGAGGCAAGUGCAGGUGAUGGAGGCAUAGGCUACGGAGGCUUGGGCAGCUGUCACCAGGGUACUAGAGUUGGAAAAAAAACUGGAGGAAGCAGUGGCUUGAGGAGGGAGCUUAUAUGUGGAGGCCCAAGAGGCUAUUAAGAAGGAAAUGGCUAUUCACUCCCCUACUAAGGGCUUCUCUUGGAUCGAUGAUUUGGUCCUAGAGGAUGAAAAGGAAGAGAAAGACAAGGUUGACCAUAGUAACGUAGACCUCAUAGUUGAAAAUAACAAUGUAAAUAUAGAAACUCGAGGGGAGGAGAAUGAAGACGCUCUUGCCUAAUAGAUUGUACAGUUUGUCAAUUCAUGAAAAUCAAACUAUUUUCCUUAUUAUAAUUAUUUUCUUUUCAUGCCUUUUACCUUUUUUGUGACAAAUCAAACAUAUUUCAUUCUCAUCUGAUGGACUAAUUUUAGGAGCUAUCAUCCAUACUCCCCUAUCGGACAAAUCAGACCAGACUUGAUAAUUCUUUUAGGGACUAACACCUAAUAAGACCUUGUUGUGCUUUGGCAUCUUAAUGCUAUAACUUUUAUAGACUAACACUUAAGAAUUGCCUAUCAAUGACCCGCUUUGUGGUGCUUGGUAGCUUAAUGCCUUGAUAAUCUUUCUAG
rnacentral:lncRNA from 1 species